CCUACGGGAGGCAGCAGUGGGGAAUAUUGCACAAUGGGGGAAACCCUGAUGCAGCGACGCCGCGUGAGCGAUGAAGUCUUUCGGUAUGUAAAGCUCUAUCAGCAGGGAAGAAAAUGACUGUACCUGACUAAGAAGCCCCGGCUAACUACGUGCCAGCAGUCGCGGUAAUACGUCGGGGGCAAGCGUUAUCCGGAUUUACUGGGUGUAAAGGGAGCGUAGGCGGGGGUGCAAGCCAGAUGUGAAAGCCCGGGGCUCAACCGCGGGACUGCAUUUGGAACUGUGCUGCUAGAGUGUCGGAGAGGCAGGCGGAAUUCGUGGUGUAGCGGUGAAAUGCGUAGAUAUUAGGAGGAACACCGGUGGCGAAGGCGGCCUGCUGGACGAUGACUGACGUUGAGGCUCGAAAGCGUGGGGAGCAAACAGGAUUAGAUACCCUAGUAGUC
rnacentral:rRNA from 1 species